rnacentral:rRNA from 1 species
GGCGGACGGGUGAGUAAUAUAUAGGUAAUGUGCCCUAGAGAAGAGGAUAACAGUUGGAAACGACUGCUAAUACUCUAUAUGCCUUUAAGACAAAAGUCUGCAAGGGAAAUAUUUAUAGCUCUAGGAUCGGCCUGUACGGUAUCAGCUAGUUGGUGAGGUAAUGGCUCACCAAGGCAAUGACGCCUAACUGGUUUGAGAGGAUGAUCAGUCACACUGGAACUGAGACACGGUCCAGACUCCUACGGGAGGCAGCAGUGGGGAAUAUUGCACAAUGGGGGAAACCCUGAUGCAGCAACGCCGCGUGGAGGAUGACACAUUUCGGUGCGUAAACUCCUUUUAUAUAGGAAGAUAAUGACGGUACUAUAUGAAUAAGCGCCGGCUAACUCCGUGCCAGCAGCCGCGGUAAUACGGAGGGCGCAAGCGUUACUCGGAAUCACUGGGCGUAAAGAGCGUGUAGGCGGGUUAAUAAGUUUGAAGUGAAAUCCUAUGGCUCAACCAUAGAACUGCUUUGAAAACUGUUAACCUAGAAUAUGGGAGAGGUAGAUGGAAUUUCUGGUGUAGGGGUAAAAUCCGUAGAGAUCAGAAGGAAUACCGAUUGCGAAGGCGAUCUACUGGAACAUUAUUGACGCUGAGACGCGAAAGCGUGGGGAGCAAACAGGAUUAGAUACCCUGGUAGUCCACGCCCUAAACGAUGUACACUACUUGUUGUGAGGCUAGACCUUGCAGUAAUGCAGUAAACACAUUAAGUGUACCGCCUGGGGAGUACGGUCGCAAGAUCUACAACUCAAAGGAAUAGACGGGGACCCGCACAAGCGGUGGAGCAUGUGGUUUAAUUCUACGAUACGCGAAGAACCUUACCUGGACUUUGACAUAGUAAGAACUUUCUAGAAAUAGAUUGGUGUCUGCUUGCAAAAGCUUAUAUACAGGUGCUGCACGGCUGUCGUCAGCUCUUGUCGUGAGAUGUUGGGUUA